AGGGAUUUAGCUCAGUGGUAUAAGCACCUGCCUGGUAAGCAUGAGAUAAAUUUGAUCCCUG
rnacentral:tRNA from 1 species